rnacentral:misc_RNA from 1 species
GUUGCAUCGCUCCGCGCCGACUCCGUCCCAUCAAUGGGUGGGCCGGCGGAGGCUCGGAUGCGGAGAGUGGCUCGUCGUGCCCAUCGGUGCGGCGGGCUGAAGAGCGGGUGAUCAUCUCGUUGGCCGCGAACAACAAGGGGUGGAUGAAAGCAAGGCCUACGUUGUUGUGUCGUGUUUGCCGGAGAGAGGAUCGCGCUUCUCAGGUGAUCCCGAACCAUGCGUCGAUCCACGGACGACGGCUUGGAAU